UGGGGAAUAUUGCACAAUGGGCGAAAGCCUGAUGCAGCAACGCCGCGUGAAGGAUGAAGGCCUUUGGGUCGUAAACUUCUGUCCUUGGGGAAGAAAAAAAUGACGGUACCCCUGGAGGAAGUCCCGGCUAACUACGUGCCAGCAGCCGCGGUAAUACGUAGGGGGCGAGCGUUAUCCGGAAUUAUUGGGCGUAAAGAGUACGUAGGUGGUUUUUUAAGCGCAGGGUUUAAGGCGAUGGCUCAACUGUCGUUCGCCCUGUGAACUGGAAGACUUGAGUACAGGAGAGGAAAGCGGAAUUCCUAGUGUAGCGGUGAAAUGCAUAGAUAUUAGGAGGAACACCAGUGGCGAAGGCGGCUUUCUGGACUGUAACUGACACUGAGGUACGAAAGCGUGGGGAGCAAACAGG
rnacentral:rRNA from 3 species